AAUUUGAUUCUACGUUUGAAUCCCAUAAAUUAAAUUCAAACAACAACAUUGGAUUCAAUUCCCUCAAUCAUUACACGAACAAACCAAGGCAACAUUAUCAAAUCCCCCCUUUAACAAAGUCAUUGAAGAAGCUUGUGGGGACUCUCUGCCAUUAUAAUGGAGAAUGAGCUUUUCUUUCUCUUCUUCUUCUUAUUCUUUAAGUCUUAAUUUCCUAUAUAGGCUUCUCUAGUCUUGUCUUGUAUUUAUUGCCCUUCCUCUCUUACCUUCCUUCUUUGCUGUGUUCUCCUGUCUUUUUCUUAUCCGUCUCGUUUCCACCGCCAUUUUUAAUUCCUAUUUGCUCUCUGUUUAAUCGUCAAAACCAAAACCCCAUUAACCCAUUUUCCUUUCUUUGAUUAAUUCGCUGAAGCCUUAUGGUGUGUGAGCUAAAGGACAAUUUUUAACAUUAACCAUUGGGUACUACUUAUCAAUGGCUGUGCCCGCAUCUACAACCACAACUACCACCAACAACGCUUCUACUAAUUCCAUUUCUUCUUCUUCUUCAGUUCCUAAUCAACCCACUAAGCUUAAGCGCCGAAAGUGUCGGGAUAUCACUGUUUCCGCCAAAUCUGAUUCGUUUUCCUCUUCUUCUUCCAAUUCCUCAUCUGGGUUUCAGGGAUUUUCUAAUCGAAAGCUUGAUCGCCCUGUGGUGAUUGUUUCUUCUGAGAAUUCCUGGUGUUGUCCUGCUUCAAAACCCUCUGUAAGCCCUUCUGCUCUUCCUCUUCCUCCUCCUCCUCCUCCUCCGCCGCCUCCACGCCAGUCGGAAUCUAACCGGAGGGUUACUUCUCCGACAUCCAAUAACGGGAAUCGAGCAUCGGAUUCGGUAAUAUCGCCGUCUGAUUCGCCGUCUGCUUUCAGGAUACGGUUUUCUCCGGGCACGCAUUCUCCUGUUAUGGACUUCACCACGUCUUCUUCCGCUGCGGCGUUUAACGGUCAUUCUGGAUCCAGUCAUGACUCUUUCCCUUCCGGGUUCUCGAAGUUCAACUCUGCUCUUACCGCCGGGCUUUUGAACCCAAUGUCGCCGCCGCCGUCUACUGAUAAAACCCGAUCGAGUCCGACCCUUUUCGAAAUGAUGGCUAGUGAGCCUGAUAUUCACCCUAGAACUUCUCAGAUCCCUCCUCAGAUUGCCUCUGUUUCGGUUCAUAAGAACCAAAUUCCUGUUCAGGACAAGCAGGCUCUGACGAUGCAGAGGAUUUCUGAGAUUUUGGGAUCUCGGAGCCCUGGAAAUCAGUUCAAUGACGCCUCUAGCAGUGAUAUUAAACUCACAUUGAGCUCUAGAGAUGGGAUCAGUGUUUCCAUGAGUGUUCACCGGCAAAUUCUUGUCGCUCACAGUCGGUUUUUCGCAUUGAAGCUCUCGGAACGAUGGGCAAAACAACAGCGGUCUCCGUCUCCAUACAUUGUGGAGAUUGCUGAUUGUGAUGAUGUUGAAGUGUACAUUGAAACCUUGAAAUUGAUGUAUUGUAGAGAUCUGAGGAAGAGGCUGAUGAAGGAAGAUGUUCCGAGAGUUCUUGGAAUUCUGAAGGUUUCGGCUGCAAUCGGAUUUGAUGCAGGUGUUUUAUCAUGUUUGGAGUACUUGGAAGCCGCCCCAUGGGCCGAGGAUGAAGAAGAGAAGGUGGCUUCACUCUUAUCUGAGCUGCACCUUGAAGGUGUUGCAGCAGGGGAAGUUCUGAAGAGGGUCUCAGUUGAAGUUACUAAUGGACAUGAAGAUGGCAAUGACAAUGAAGAAGUGCUGCUCAAGCUUCUACAUGUAGUUCUUGAAGGAAAAGACGAGAAGGCAAGGCGGGAGAUGAAAGGAUUAGUUUCGAAGAUGCUUCGUGAGAGUUCGUCGCAAAAUGACCUUCGAAAAGAAUCCUUGUACUCAGCUUGUGAUGGUUGUCUGCAGUUGCUUCGCCAUCAAUUUACGCGAGCGGUAGGGUCAGACUUUCAGGGUGUCGGGGAGAUUGCUAAGCAGGCCGAUAAUUUGCAUUGGAUUUUAGAUAUCCUGAUUGAUAGACAGAUAGCUGAAGAUUUUUUAAAAACCUGGGCAUCUCAAUCUGAAUUGUCAGCUGCACACUCUAAGGUGCCUGCUGUUCACAGAUUUGAGAUCAGCCGAGUUACUGCUCGGUUGUUCGUUGGGAUCGGAAAAGGCCAACUUCUGGCUCCUAAAGAUGUGAGAUAUCAGCUUUUGCAGACCUGGUUGGUACCGUUUUAUGAUGAUUUUGGUUGGAUGAGGAGAGCGUCGAGAGGGCUUGAUCGUCAUUUGAUCGAGGAUGGCCUUAGCAAUACAAUUCUCACUCUACCAUUAGCUUGGCAACAAGACAUAUUGCUAGCUUGGUUCAAUAGAUUCAUGAAUUCAGGUGAAGAUUGCCCUAAUAUACAACGAGGGUUUGAAGUCUGGUGGAGAAGGGCUUUCUGGAGACGCAGUGGUGAACAGGAACGACCUCGAAUGAUUCGAAUUGCCACCCCAUCAACAGAGAAUUCGUGAAGUGCUCUAGUGUCAAAGUACAGAAAUUUUAGUUCAUAAUAACUAAUGGGUUUGUUCUUUCUCUGAUCGCUUGAUGCCUCAUUCCUUGGUUUGGUUGGUUAGGAUCUUCUUCCUUCCUAAACCAGGAACAUCUUAUGCAGGACUCAAUGUACUUGAGGUUAGGUUGGAAGAAGAUAAUAGAUGCUAGAUAUUCCACACGAAACGAAACGAGACAGAUGUUAUCAGCGAUAUCGGGCAGUGUCCAAGAUGAGUGUACAGAGGAUAAUAGCAAAACUGGUAUUAUUAAAUCCGACGAGCGGAGAUUUGAUCGACCAAUCCAUGCUUGUCCUCUGCUUCACCAUUUGAUAUAUUGCAAGAAGAAAAAGGGAGAGAAACAAGUGUGAUGUUUAUGAGUUGAAUUGUAAGGUAUCCCAUUUCCAAAAACUGCUCGCAAUGGAACUUAACAGUGGUUGGAGUGGAUGGAUAGUUGGAAGUUGAAAUCUGGUUUGGUUUGAGAAUCUAACAUUGUAUAUGCUUUGGCUUCGUUUAGAUUUCUUUUUUGACUUUUAGUUUGGAAUAUGAUGUUCUUUGCAGCAUGUUUGGUGAAAGAACAUUGUGCUGAUUGUUCCUUUUCCAUUCUGCCAAAAAGUUUGCUUCCUUAAAAGUAUUUUCAUUUAAUAAUAUUAUAUUUGGAGCA